GCCGGGUGUGCUGGCACAUGCCUGUAAUCCCAGCUACUGAGAGGCUGAGGCACGAGAAUUGCUUGAACCCAGGAGGUCGAGGCUGCAGUGAGCUGAGAUUGUGCCACUACACUCCAGCCUGGGUGACACAGUGAGACCCUGUCUCCC
ensembl:misc_RNA Metazoa_SRP Metazoan signal recognition particle RNA